rnacentral:rRNA from 1 species
AUUGAACGCUGGCGGCAUGCCUUACACAUGCAAGUAGAACGGUAACAGGUUAAGCUGACGCGUGGCGAACGGGUGAGUCAUGUAUCGGAACGUGCCCAGUCGUGGGGGAUAACUGCGCGAAAGAGCAGCUAAUACCGCCUACGACCUGAGGGUAAAAGCGGGGGAUCGCAAGACCUCGCGCGAUUGCAACGGCCGAAAUCCGAUUAGGUAGUUGGUGAGGUAAAGGCUUACCAAGCCGACGAUCUGUAGCUGGUCUGAGAGGACGACCAGCCACACUGGGACUGAGACACGGCCCAGACUCCUACGGGAGGCAGCAGUGGGGAAUUUUGGACAUGGGGCGAAAGCUUGAUCCAGACAGGCCGCGUGCGGGAAGAAGGCCUCCGGGUGGUAAGCCGCGUUGGUCAGGGAGGAAGAGUUUCUGGCUAAAAACUGCGACUCGUGACGGUACCUGACGAAUAAGCACCGGCUAACUACGUG